rnacentral:lncRNA from 1 species
GGACCAGCGGCAGGAGGAUGCGGGGAGGAGGCAGUUGCACCAGGUAACACCCAUCAUCUGGAGCAGCACUGCCUGGGCCAGGCUUGAAGUUCUCUCUGCUCAGAUCCGGGAGAGCUCUCCGCUGGGACUCCUAGGAUUGUACUUUUAGAAAAGAGUUGCACUCCCUCGCCGAAAGUCUUUACCAAGCUUUACAUCGCCAGCUUAGUGGUGCCCAUUUCUCUCGCCUAGCUCUGCGUCUGGCCUCUGCUGUGUGAUUUUGGGGGCAGAUAUCCCAUCCUGCGGCCUGUUUCCUCACUUCUGUAAAAUGCGAGGGUUCGUGCGCUUCAUCUCUCAGAUCUCCAACGCUGAUUCUCUGAGCGCAAACAGAAAAUUACACAAACCUCCACCUAGGGUGGGAGAUUUGACUCAUCCCUGACACAACAGAGGGAGGUUUGUCGGAAUGUUGGAGGGUUGGGUUGCACCCCUUUCUCUGCAAAAGUCCUUAGUUCAGACUCUUGGUCUAUCCCACUGAGCUCAGCCUGAUCCCAGUCCAGUUAUCAGAAAAGGCAGGCUCUCCCAUGGUCCUGUCUGGACUCUAACGACCCUUUGGACCAGCAUCUCUGGCCAGAAGACAUCAGCCAUCGCCCUUUCUAUUUGCUAAAGUCCAAGCUUGGUUAAGGGGACUAUAAAUAGUAGGAACCCGUGUCUCAGCAUCUCACAAGUCAUUUUCCUCUCAGAACAUCUCUCUGUAAAACAGGCAUUGGGUUCCCUUGGAUCCUAAAAUUUCUCCCACCUGCAGCAAUCUCUGAAUCAUUCUCCUUCUCCCCACUCUCUAGAGUAGGCUCAACCUCUCCUCCCCACAGGACCUCCUGAGGUCCUUUUAGCCCCUUCACAGGCUGCAUGGGACAGUCUCUGCAGAGUGCCCCUCUGCCCAGCACUGGGGGCCUGCCACUCCAGGGGUGCUGGAGAGACAGGAGAUAGUCUUCUCUUUGUGGAGUUUACAUUCUAGCCAGAAGACCAGAAACACCAUCUGCACAGCAGCAGCUCAGCCCUUGUCUCUUUCCUGCCUGAAUUCCCUCUCAACAUGAAUGCAGUUGGGAAGCAGAGGUCCAGUAGCUCCUGAAGGGGUAAGGGCCUUGCCUGUCCAUUGUCCCCUGGUCUGCCUAGUCUCUGCAGGCCUGGGCAAGAUCACCUGGGAAGAUGAGAGCCAGGAGAACCCACACUUACCCAAAGCACCAGGAAGGGUGAGUGAAGAGAGAAGAUGCUGGCUAUGUGAGGAGCACUGGAGCUCCCGAGGUUUUAUACAUUGAGCCCUGACUCAUCUAUUGAUUCCGGCCAGCCUCUCACAUUUGGCCUCAGUUACGUGACCCAUGGCUGUUGCCCCACCUGCCUGUGAUUGCAGGCACAGGGUGGCCCAUUCAUGAAGAUUUUGGCAUUCUUGAGAUGGGCAGCCUCAUGUGUGACUGGCCCCUUCUCUGAUGCAACUGUGUGACAGUCUGGCCAGCAGGGACAGCCAGCCAGAGUGGAUGGCAGACAUUGUUUCCAAAGCCUCUGGCAUGGGAUGCGUGCCAUAACCAGAGGGCUGGGCUUGAGGAAUAGGUUCCCUAUUCUGAAGGUGGCCUAGAGGGUCAUGCUGGACAUCUCAGUCCUUGGCCCAAGGAGUAGGACCUUUCAAAUCUCACUGUUUGGCUUCUGAUCCCAUUGCUUGGAAACCCUCGGAACUUUAGAGAGAGCCUGUCUCUCUUUUGGCAAAAGUUUCUCCCCCAAGAUUUCAUGUGUGCUUUGCUGGGGUAUUUCUGUCUUGCCCUUGCAUUUGAGAGAGUGCGAGAGCCCCCGGCACCCAGUUCUGGGCCGCAUACCAUGGAUGCUGCUAUAACUAAUGGAACUCCGUAGCUCCUUUGAUUUGUUCUUGGAGACAGCAAGUGUCUGAGAAAAUUGUACAUUGGUCCUGACUUUCCCUGCAGAGGAGCAACCUAAAGAGAUUGACCAUGUGGUCUUUCCUUUGGCUCUGGGGUCUGUGGUCUUCUGCAUCAAGACUGACCCCAGCCUAAGAGGCAGCUGUGGAAUGGAAUAGACUUGAGGUUAGGUGACUGGUUUUGGGUGCUCCCUUUUCUACUUGCCAACAGUGUCACCUUGGGCAGAGUCACAGCACCUUACUCAGUGGCCGCAUAUAGAAGCCCCUCGGUUGAAGAUUCUAAUGCCUUAUUCAUUGAUCCAGCCAACACUCGGGUACUGGCACAAGGUGAAGCAUCAGGGAAGAGCCAGGAACCUUUCUGAAGCUGUGCACAGCUCUCCUUGGUAGAUUUGGGGGAGGGGUACUCCAUGCCUGCCUCUGCCACCUGCUAGAGCAUUUAGUAAGGAAAACCUCCUAACUAGUACAUCUACUUUAUUAACAUAUGGAAGAGGCUGGUGCAACAUAGUAUUGACAGCAGUGCUAGAUCUCGUGGCUCUAAGUGAACCUUGCUUGAGGUGCGAAUAUCUGAACUUCGUUCUUUAUUUUAUCCCUCUAGACAAGAAGUAGUGGGGUAUCUGUACAAAUAGCUAUUGAUGACCACAUUUUAUCAUACCAAUGAGGAAAUGAUGGGAGUUUGUAGAAUUAUUAAACUAUUUGGAGUUGUGUAAGACUUGGUAUAUCAGAUUUUUUAAGAUUUAUAUCUUUUAGACACUUAACCCUGAAUGUGUCCCUGCUAGUAUGUCUGAAUUCUGCAGCCUCACAUAUUACAUCGUGGUUCCUGCCUAUCCUGUACCCUUAGAGGGGAUGGGCCAUAAAGCAAAUGUUUCAUAGUGUCCAGGAUGGUGCUAGGCAUCAUGAGGUGCUCAGUAAAUCCUGGUGGAAUUGGAGGGAGUUCUUGAGACUCAUUGACUAACAUUGACUAGCAACAGUGUGGACAGACACAUUGGUUCAUGGACCACUGUUGCAUACAUGUCUUGUUCAUUUCUUACAAUGGUACUGUGUGCUCAGUGAUGUCUUAUUCUCAUUUCCCACAUGAGGAAGCAACUUACAAAAACUAAUGUAAUUGCUUAAAUUCCCGCAGCCUCUAAGUGGCACACCCAGGAUUCAGACUCAGUUCUUUUGAUUCUAAAUCUUACAUUUUUUCCAAGCACUACAUACCUCUUCUUUUUGGAUCAAUAUAGGCAGGAUGAAGGGCGGCCCCUAGUCAGGCUCUGGUCCUAGCCUGUGGAUGUUCCCAAUUCCUCAGGGACAAUUCUAUGCACUGAUAGAGGUAAAUGAAGAACCCAAGGCCCAGAGGGGCUAAACCACUUCCCUAGGCCACACAGCAGGGCCAAGACUAGAAUCUGGAUCUCUGGCCUCAAUACUCCUGCUACUGUAGAUUCAGAUUGUGGUUUUCUGCUUUCUCCUGAUAAGAGUAUCUCCAGGUGAUGGCAUUGAGACCAGAAAGUAGUUAAAAUGAUAGUAAAAGAGUUUUAUAGCUGAGCAGACAUGCUCAAGGAAGCUGCUAGGCCUGGGCAUCUAGCCCUUGGUCCUGGAAGAAAUGUGCUAAUAUCACAAGGCCCUUUCAUAGAGGGGCUGCUGCUACGUAGAUUGUGGGCUCGGGGCCUGCCUCCUGAGCUUGUAUGCAAACUUUAUGAGCAGGGAGGAGCAGUGAGCAGCAUUUGUGGGCCCCAGUCCUGCUCUGAGAUAGUCAAUGUUGCAUCAGGACUUUUGUGCAUGGUGGUGGGUGGUGGUCCAAGAACGUAGGCUCCUUGACUAGCCCGACCACUGAUAUCCAAGGGUGGAUAAUCUAUGUUGUUUUAACUGAAGCCCAAUCAAAUGGAAUCUGGAAAUCAAUAUGACCCAAAGAAAAACUACAAGCAUUUUAAACAUAUGGCCUUUUAGGUUUUUUGGUCCAAAACUUUAACCCAAGCUUUUCAGGCCAUGUGCUGCUUUAGAUGAUUGGCAAUGUGCUUCUCCUUUAUGGAGGACAUUGAAAAGGAAGGCAAAGUAAGUGUUAUUUCCAUUUUGGUUUCAAAUCCACUUUUGAUAGUAAGUGCUACUUUCAGAAAUUCCCUGGGGCUGGCUACACUAGGCUUUGGGUGUGACUUGUCUCUCACCCACCCAAUAGUGAUAAGAUUUCCCACUGAAGACCAGAAUCUGGAUCCAGUCUCCUUCUUGACCAGUAAACUUUGUUCCUCAGACUUGCUGGUUAUCCUUAAUUGUUGCUCAUUUUUCAGACUAUACUCUGUAUUUCAAUAGCUGAAGCUGUUAAAAUUAUUGGAUAACUUGGGACAAGCCUUCCCAUUACUUAAAAAAGUGGAAAUGAUCACACUUUUGUUGGUGGGUUUCUAGUGACUUCUUCAUUUGGCUCCAACCACGUCUUCAGAGAAUCCCAAGGUGAGGGACUAUGGAACCAUUGUCCACAUCUGGUAUAGGUUCCUAGGGCCUUCCCUCCUGGGCUGGGAGCACCAGCCAGGCAAGAUCGGAUCCCCCUAAAUCUCCAUAUCCCCAUAUAACUCAGGGCUGGGCCUCAGAGUGAAGAUCUGAUAACUAUUUGUUGAUUAGCCAAAGAGAUGAUGAGAAUUAGUCUCAUAUCCCAAGGCAAACACAAUCUGAUUUAGUUUUCCGUGGAAAGUAGCUUAAAUAUAUUGGCCACAGCAAACUGCUCUCCCCUGCCAUUGUCCACCUUCAUCCAAGGUGCCUGAUUCCCCCAUUGCCUCCUGCUGUUUGUUUUUCAGAAUAUCCUUUGGAUCAUGCCUCCCUGAGACCCUGACCACCUAUGGUGUGCAGUGGUCAGCUUUCUGGUCAGGCCUGAAACAGCACCAGGGGAACUUCUAGUCUCUGGUCUGUUCUGAAAGGUAGAGAUCAGAAUCUUUCCUCUUCUGAGGUCUUUGGGUCUUGGGGGGGCUUAUACUCUAAAUCUGGUUCAAGCACAAUGACCCGUGAGCUUGGGCAAGGCACUCUUCCCUAGACCUCAGUUCUUCUACCUAUAGAGUCAUUCUGACUUCCUCCUAUCUUGAUUUCCUUUUGGCCCCUCCUUCCCAUGGCCCCUUUCUGGACAGAGAGGAGGGAGAGACGAGCAGGGUCAGAGGCAUUGACAGGGAAGAAACCAGAUGGAAUGGCCUUUGGGAAAAAAGCAUGGAAACUCUCAUACCUCCCUGAGUGUCGUCCUUGGGCUCAAAUCAGAGACGGUUGGGAAACUUUUCCCCCCCGACAGUGUUUCCUCACCUGAGCUGACUAUGGAGGAGGAGGAGGAGCGGGGCACAGCAGGAGGGCCUGGGGAGGAAAGUCGGCCUGUGUUAUGAGUAACUUUUGCAGAGUAUCAUUACCCAGGGUGGAUAUAAUUGCACAGGAUUAAGAAAGGCAUGUGGGCAGGUUGCCUUGCCUUAGAUCCUCCUGCAAAUUAGCAUAUGUCACUUGGGGUGCCAGAGAAGGAUUAAUUUGGCUCCUGAAUGCUUCUUGGCAGUGAAUCCCCUGAUGGUGGAACCGGCCCCCUUACCCUCUGGUCCUUCUGAGGCUUCUGUAACCGUUCGUUCUGAUGGCUGUGCUCCAUUGUCCACUCCUGCUGUUACUGCUUAGACUUCCCCACUGUCUUGUAACCACUGUACCCUCAAGAACUCAGCGCUGAAUUUCGUUGGGUCUCGCUUGUCUUCCAGACGGACUGCUGGCAGGAACUGUAUCUCCCCUUACCUGCAGUGUGGCCGCAUAGUAGGUGAGGAGCAAGGUUUGUUGUGUGAGGACCCCCUGCCUCAACCCUUUGCUUCUUGUCUCCCCUGACUCUCCUUCUGCGGAAUCUAGUGAUGCACUUCCCCUAGACGCUAACUCCACAGAAUCCUUGUUGUCCCCCGAUGUCGUUUCCCUCCUGUCUCCUUAAAUGUGGUCUUCUCUUCACAGGCUUCUGGGCCUGGAUUCCUUUGGGAAUGUGUGGCCUGAAGCAGCCCCGUUUAGUGUGUGAGAGAGUAUGGGGAGAGGGCAGAGAAUGAGUCCACAGUUCAGUGGGGCAUUUGGUAAAGGAGUCACUUAGGAUGCUUGAGUGCAAUGCUAACUGAGCGCCCAAGGGACACGGGGAAGCAGAGAAAAGAAGCAACUGGAAAAACCGUCCUGGAAGAGGUGAGUUUUGAGUUAGGAUUGGAAAACAGUAAAAAUUGCGAAUAAGUUUCUCCAGAUCUGGGUUUUGGCUAUCAUAUUACCUUCAUGUGUAGGUAUAUAUGUGUGCACACGUGAUGUGUGUGUGUGUGUGUGUGUGUGUGUCUCCUCUCCUCAGAAGCUCUGCCUUCCACAGACUUCAAUAACCUCAUGUCCGACUCUUUCUCACAGAACCUGUUCCCUCUCUCCUGGGAGGGGUUACAGUUGCUCCUCUUGGGCCCCAGGAUUGCUCUCUCACCCUCACUCGGGUGAGACACCCCUUGGUGUCCACAGCAACUGCAUCGUGUGUGGGACUGACCCAUGUCAUUCUCCAUGACCUGUGUCUCUAGCCAUGGCAGUGGAUUUGUCUUGAUUGCCAUUCUUCUGCUGAAACUUCAGUGUCCCCACAUCAGGACGAAGCCCAGAUUUCUCAGUCCAAAGGGCCUUUUGUGGUUCAUCUUUGACUGUUUCCCUAUAGAAGCAUUUUGCUCCAGACAAACUCAACAAACUACCACCCCCAAUGAGCCAGGCUGUAUUUGUUGCUUUCAUAUUUUUACCUCUGCUUUUCCCUGCAUCUGUGAAUGCCUCCUUUCCUUAAUUUGUCUAACUUCUCUUUUCCUUUCAAUACUGUAUCAGACAUCACUCCUCCCAGGAAACCUUCCCCAACACCCUAGUCUGAUGGGGAGAGCACUUUAUCUUGCAGUGCAGCGAUCCUGUCUUCCACCAGACCGAGGUCUCCUUGGAGAGGGAGCUGAGUCUUGUCCCUUGUCCUAUAUCUCAAGCAUCCAGCACAAUGCCUGGCGUAGCCCACGGUGAAUGCUGGAAGAAAGGAUGGAUGAGUGAAUGAACUGCUCCACAUCUGCCCAUUUCUGGGAUUGUCAGUGGCCUGAGAGGGGAGGAUAUUAAUUCUCUGUCCUAUUUUCACCUCCCAACAAGAUUGCUUGCUCCUGGAGGGCAGGGACGGCAUUGCAGCUCUAGGUAAAUCUGGAGCCCAUGGACACACUAGGUACUAAGUCAGUGUUUGUUGA